AUGUUCUUGAUGCCUGUGCCUGAGCACAGCCCUCUGGAUUCUCAGGAGAGCAUCUUGCCCAGACCUGAGGACUGGCAGGAGGCAGGCCAGAAGGACAAUUUAGAUGACUCAGCAACUCAACUCAGCAGUCACUCCAGGACUGGGUCCCUCUCCCCGCAACUGGAAGGUAAAGGAGGGAAUCUAAAUCCCUGGCAGUUCAGGGACUUCCAGACGUGGCGCCGGGGAAAAGAAUCCCACUAGGAACCAUGAAAUUGUGGGUUUGAUCCCUGGCCUUGCUCAGUGGGUUAAAGAUCCAGCGUUGUGGUUUAGGUCACAGAGGUGACUUGGAUCCUGCGUGGCUGUGGCUGUGGCUGGCAGCUGUAGCUCCAAUUUGACCCCUACCUAGCCUGGGAAUCUCCAUAUGCCUUGGGUGUGGCCCUAAAAAGAAAAAAGAACCCUGGCAGUUCGGAGAGCUCCACCCCAACACACGCAAAAAACAGUAAUUAUGUGACUGAGCUCAGAGGAGCGGAACCGGAGGCUGCCCAAGGUCACCCAAACUGUCAGAGGCAAAGUUAGAACCAGAAACCAGCUUUUUUCCUGGGUUUCCAGCUCCUUCCACCACAGGUUGGGGUCAGGACCUCUUACAC
rnacentral:lncRNA from 1 species